ACAUGCGACCACAUCCACAAGAAAAUACGGGAUCCCGUCCGCUCUCCCUUAGUCAAGCUUGUGAGAGAUCGACUAGUAGUUGGGUCGGUGACGACCAGCGAAUCCCGAUUGUUGCAUGUU
rfam:Valsa mali var. pyri strain SXYL134 unplaced genomic scaffold scaffold00092, whole genome shotgun sequence.